GAGGUUGACUGUACAUACAAAUAUUGAGCAUUUCCUCCUGGCCUCCGUGAUAAACAGAAGUUUUGAUAUUGUUAGGCGAGAUGGAAAGAAAGUAUCAAGGAGUGAGCUGAAGCCACUGCCCUUGAGAACCCUCUCGAGGAGUCUGGCCUCAUGAAGAUGCCAGAAUAAAUGGCAGUAAGAAGAAAAAGAGCAAAGAUAAGAAGAGAAAAAGAGAAGAAGAUGAAGAAACCAGCUUGAUAUGUUGGAACGCAGCUGCUCACCAGCAACGGAACAAAGCUGGACGGAGAAUGACUUUGAAGAGCUGAGAGAAGAAGGCUUCAGAUGAUCAAAUUACUCUGAGCUACGGGAGGACAUUCAAACCAAAGGCAAAGAAGUUGAAAACUUUGAAAAAAAUAAAUAUACAUUUCUUAACGUGGAAUCUGGUGAACAGUAACAAACUUUGGUGAAAUUUCAGGAACCCUAGCCAUUGAAAUGGAUGAGGGAACCUAUAUACAUGCACUCGACAAUGGUCUUUUUACCCUGGGAGCUCCACACAAAGAAGAAUCACCCUGAAACCGGGCUGUGGAAAAUAUCUUGGUAUAAAUUCAGAUGAACUUGUUGUUGGCGUUCAGAUGCAAUUGGACCAAGAGAACAAUGGGAACCAGUCUUUCAAAAUGGGAAAAUGGCUUUGUUGGCCUCAAAUAGAUGCUUUAUUAGAUACAAUGAAGCAGGGGACAUAGAAGCAAAAAGUAAAACAGCAGAAGAAGAAAUGAUCAAGAUUAGAUCCUGUGCUGAAAGAGAAACCAAGAAAAAAGAUGACAUUCCAGAAGAAGACAAAGGAAAUGUAAAACAAUGUGAAAUCAAUUAUGUAAAGAAAUUUCAGAGCUUCCAAGACCACAAACUUAAAAUAAGUAAAGAAGCAGUAAAAUUCUUAAAAAGAUGCAGAAAGAUGGAUUUUUGCAUGAGAUGCUUCUGGACAGAGAACCAAAUUGAAAGCCGACAGAUACUGCAAAUGACUGGGAUUUUUGUUUCUGCCUUAUCUUUUUGUGUUUUUUUCUGAAUAAAAUAUUCAGAGGAAAUGCUUUUACGGAG
rnacentral:lncRNA from 1 species